rnacentral:rRNA from 1 species
CCUACGGGGCGCAGCAGUGGGGAAUAUUGCACAAUGGGCGCAAGCCUGAUGCAGCCAUGCCGCGUGUAUGAAGAAGGCCUUCGGGUUGUAAAGUACUUUCAGCGGGGAGGAAGGUGUUGAGGUUAAUAACCUCAGCAAUUGACGUUACCCGCAGAAGAAGCACCGGCUAACUCCGUGCCAGCAGCUGCGGUAAUACGGAGGGUGCAAGCGUUAAUCGGAAUUACUGGGCGUAAAGCGCACGCAGGCGGUCUGUCAAGUCGGAUGUGAAAUCCCCGGGCUCAACCUGGGAACUGCAUUCGAAACUGGCAGGCUAGAGUCUUGUAGAGGGGGGUAGAAUUCCAGGUGUAGCGGUGAAAUGCGUAGAGACCUGGAGGAAUACCGGUGGCGAUGGCGGCCCCCUGGACAAAGACUGACGCUCAGGUGCGAAAGCGUGGGGAGCAAACAGGAUUAGAUACCCCAGUAGUC